AGGACCUUAAGUGCCAAGGUAAAGAUGUGAACUUUAUCGGCCAGGCGCGGUGACUCAUGCCUGUAAUCCCAGCACUUUGGGAGGCUGAGGCGGGCAGAUCACGAGGUCAGGAGAUCGAGACCAUCCUGGCUAACACGGUGAAACCCCGUCUCUGCUAAAAAUACAAAAAACUAGACGGGCGUGGUGGCAGGUUCCUAUAGUCCCAGCUACUCGGUAGGCUGAGGCAGGAGAAUGGUGUGAACCCAGGAGAUGGAGCUUGCAGUUAGCAGAGAUCACGCCACUGCACUCCAGCCUGGGCAACAGAGCGAGACUCCGUCUCAAAAAAAAAAAAAAAAAAAGAAAAAUGAACUUUGUCAGGGGUUUGACCUAAUCAGAUCCCUCUGGCUGCAGUGUGGAGGACAGAAUAGACUUUAAGAAGCAGGACAAGCAGGACGUGGGGAGAACAGUUAUUGAAGUUUAUUGUGCACAUUCAGAGAAUACCAGGGUAGUAUAAAGGAGGAUGAUGGCAAGUGGGAGAGGAGAUGCAAACCUCCUCAUCAUCAAUAACGCCACCUUAUUGAAGAGGCCCGGCUUGACCACUCUAUAGAAAAUAGAAUAGAAAAUAGUGUAGAAAUAUCACCCAUCCUCAUCACUUCCCAGUCUUCAUUAGGCAAGGACAUGACAUUUUGCCAAAUGAAGUCCUAUUUCUUCAUAGGAUAUAUUUACUUUUCAGAUGCUUAUUAUCUAUUCUCUCACUAGCAUGAACAUUCCAUACAGGAAAGGCUUUUGUUUUAUUAUUUGCUAUGUCCUUGGUGCCAGAACAGUGCCUGGUGUAUAGUAAGUGCUCAAUAAAUAUUU
rnacentral:lncRNA from 1 species